CCUACGGGUGGCAGCAGUGAGGAAUAUUGGUCAAUGGGCGAAAGCCUGAACCAGCAAAGUCGCGUGAGGGAUGAAGGUUCUAUGGAUCGUAGACCUCUUGUAUGAGGGAAUAAAGUGCGGGACGUGUUGCUUUUUGUAUGUACCUUAUGAAUAAGGAUCGGCUAACUCCGUACCAGCAGCCGCGGUAAUACGGAGGAUCGGGGCGGUAUUCGGAUUUAUUGGGUUUAAAGGGAGCGUAGGUGGGUAGUUAAGUCAGUUGUGAAAGUUUGCGGCUCAACCCUAAAAUUGCAAUUGAUACUGGCAGCCUUGAGUACAGUUGAGGUAGGCGGAAUUCGUGGUGUAGCGGUGAAAUGCUUAGAUAUCACGAAGAACUCCGAUUGCGAAGGCAGCCUACGAAACUGCCACUGACACUGAUGCUCGAAAGUGUGGGUAUCAAACAGGAUUAGAUACCCGGGUAGUC
rnacentral:rRNA from 1 species